AUUGAACGCUGGCGGCAGGCCUAACACAUGCAAGUCGAACGAGUGGCGGACGGGUGAGUAAGGUCUGGGAAACUGCCUGAUGGAGGGGGAUAACUACUGGAAACGGUAGCUAAUACCGCAUACCAUAAGAUGGGCCGAGAUGGGAGUAGCUUGUUGGUGGGGUAACGGCUCACCAAGGAGACGAUCCCUAGCUGGUCUGAGAGGAUGACCAGGCACACUGGAACUGACACGCGGUCCAGACUCCUACGGGAGGCAGCAGUGGGGAAUAUUGCACAAUGGGCGCUAGCCUGAUGCAGCCAUGCCGCGUGUAUGAAGAAGGCCUUCGGGUUGUAAAGUACUUUCAGCGGGGAGGCGUUACCCGCAGAAGAAGCACCGGCUAACUCCGUGCCAGCAGCCGCGGUAAUAC
rnacentral:rRNA from 1 species